CAUAUUGGAAAUAUUUGACAAUCAGGCAGACCUUCCACUGUUUGUGCAGUCUCCUAACUGACUCCUGCAGACCCUGCUGUUCCUCUUCUGGCAAGAUAUCUGUCAGAUCAUCACAUGCCUUCAGACAUGCCUGCCCCACCCGCAGGGCCUUUUCCAGCUCAGCUCGGGACUCCUCAAAGCGCCGGGUCAGGUUACCAUUGGUCUCAGCAACUCUCCUCCACUCCAGAGCUUCCUGCAUCAGCACCUACAGACAUGAUGGAGAUACCUCUUUAUAAAUCCGGUUCUGCAGGCUAACCUGAGCUGUGGUCUGAAGCUCGGUUACUCUGUUCUGCAGCAGAGACGGGUCGAAGUUGUAGAGAGUCUUAGUGCAGCACAGCGCCCUCUGAAGUGCCAGGAGCAGCAGCUGGUGCUUUAGAUCGCGGGACACAGUCUCAUCACACGUCUCUAUGAGGAAGUUUCCUGAAUCGUUCAUGGUUGUGUGUUGAUCCAUCCAGUGUGGAAGAUUCCUGAAGAACUCCUAAAGAGGGCUGGUGCAAUGCAACCUGAGCAUCCUCCAGCCAGGCCUGUAGAGAGGACACAGCACUGCUGUAUUUCUCCCAGUUCCCCUCCACCUCCUUCAGCAUGGACCUCACACUGCGGAUCUCCACCGCCAGACUCCUCCACUGAUCAGCCAUGUCCCUCAGAAACCUCCUCACAGCUUCUUCAGCUACAUGUAUACAUACACAUAUACACACAGACAUGAACAUAUACACUCAUCAACAGGUUUCUGUACUUUAAUAUUAGAGUAUGUUUUUCCUAUAAGAUGGACAAAAUGUGAGAAAUAAAAUUACAGGGACCCCAUGUAAUAGAGCAAGCAGGACAAACAAGACAUAUCGGAACACCUAAAAUUAAGCAUAUUAAAAAUAGUGUAUCCAUCUUUUGUCAGGGUAACAUCGAUAUUAACACAAUCAUCAAUCACAAAAGUUUUGGAUGGAGGUCCACCUUUUCUUUAAAACACAGUUCCACUAAUCCACAGAUUAAUACUGGGAUUUAUUAGGCAUGGUGCCAAUAGGUACAGCUUUAUCCCCUCAAUACAGUCCUAUUAAAUUGACAAUACUUCUCUA